UCCUCUAACUUUCCGAAACUGCCUGCCUGAGAUGGGGAAGCCCUGAGUUGCCAAACAGUGAUUUGAGAGUAUAUAAGGCAAGGCCAUCGUGGCGACGGCAGAGUCUUCUCUUGCACUCGCAUCUGCAACAUCUCAAAUAUGGUUUCUCGCGUCGUGUUGGUCGUACUGGCGGUGGUCGUCCUAGCGGCCGCAGCAGUGGCUCUCCCUGACCCCACGAAACGGCACCUCGGAUUCGGCUUGCACGGAGGAUACGGAGGAUACGGCCUCGGAGGAUUUGGCUUGGGAGGCUACGGAGGAUACGGAGGCUAUGGCUAUGGAUCCCACUAUCCUUAUUACGGAUCCUACUACGGAUAGAUAACAAAAGACCAAGUGAACGACAUUAGUGUUAUGGACUUCGUUUCCUGCCUUUCAGCUGGGUCGAUGAAUCCCAUAGGUUGUCAGCGAACAAUCAUCC